CACUAUGGUCCUUCCCUUUCUCUAGCGUGAGGAGAUAUAACUUAUCAAAUGCAUGCAUAAACAUCUAAAAUAAUGCAGCAAUAGAACCUAAUGAGAACGGGUAUAACUCAAGGCAAAAUAGCAUUAUGAUGUGUCUUAAUAAUUACUUCAGCCACAUCAUCUACGGAAAGAUUCUGGGAGCAGUGGGAAAGUAGACAAUGGAAUGAUUCCCAUUAAGUUUUCAGGAAUGUUUUCCUCUACUUCAUGGGAAUUGAUAGUCAUCUCUCUAAUUGCUUCCUGCGCUCAUAGUUAUUUUCACAUUGUAUCCUCACGAGCACUGUAUUUACAUGUUUCUGCAAUUGUUUCAAUUCCUCCAUCACCUUCCCUAUAAAAUUGAGAAAGUUUUAAACUUCCUUUUAGCAACUGGAGAGCCGAAGGAAGAUAAUCAUCACAUGCAUUAGACUUCCACACCCCUUAAAGGAAAGUGACUCAAAGUCAGAUAUAGAGUGGGAACAGGAGAGAGAAGAUCAAAACAAUGUUUUAAUUAUUAUUAAUUAUUAAGCUGCUUAAAUUUGGGUGAUGUGAUACAAGCAAAGGCAGUGCUCAUGCACUGGCCCUUUAACAGUAGAAUAGGACCCAUUGCACAGAAGGUCUCAGUCUCAUUAUGAAACCCACACCACUCAGCACAAUUUCUCUGUAAUGCCUGAAUCAGAAGAGGCCGUGAAUGAUGCAAACCAGUGCCUGGGAACAGUUAAGGGCUAACUGUCAGGGGGCAGCCUCCAGCCUCUGCCACCUGAGGCAAUUAGUGUCACAUUUGGCCAAAUAGGGCUGGCCCUGGAGAGAAUGGUAGCCAAGCGUGUUUGUUUGUUUUUAUAAUAAAAAGCACCAUAAGAGUUGCAGUAACUGAAAGGAUAGAGAGCGCUUAGGGGUACUUUUGGAUAAAAACAGGACACUUGCAACAACAGCCUUUGAUGGAAGAUUGUCACUUUCCACCCUUGACCUAAGAUGCUGUACACACAAGCUUAUAACAUAGUGCAUGAUUUUAGACAUGAACUGCAUCAUAGCCCACCCCUUACCUACCAUUUGAAGUUUUUAAAAAAAUAUUUCAAACACAAAUUGAUGAAAUAGUUCAUAUGGAUAUGUUAAGCAUCACAUGAUAUAAUAUGGAGCUGUGAACAGAAUAAUGAUAGUGUUUAAUUUCAACCUGUUCCAUUUGGCACAGAUUUCAUCUACUGAAAUCUCAGGGGUCCCAUCUUGGUUUGGCAAGUUAUCCGUGGCUGCUGCUUUUUAAAAUGUUUUUAAUUGGUUUUUCCAAAUAAACAUGAGAACAUAAAUCCCCUUAUUAAACAGUUCCCCUUACCUACCCCCUCCUCCAAGCCACAAAGUCCUAUGGGGAAGUGUUAUUCCAAAGUUUCAAAUGCAAGUCUGGUGAAUGCCACUGUAAUUGAUGUUCUGUCAGGUAUGUGACGAAAGGGUACCAUGUCUCUAUAAAAUUGUUCUCAUUUUUCUUUUCAUCUAAGGCUUUAACUUCUUUGGUCAAUUUUUCUGAGAGUGCUAUAGUCCAUACUUCUUGCUUCCAUUGUGAGAUUUGUAAACAUUGCAAAGAUUUCUAGUUUGGGGCAACAAGUUGUAGGGCUGCUACUAAAAGAAAAUUAAUCAAGUAUUUAUAUCUGAGAUUGACAUUUUCAUUUUUAAAGAUACUUAACAAUACUAAAGUUGGGGUACAGAUAACAUUCUGUUUUGUGAUCUUACUUAUUUCACCAACAUUUUUCCAACGUGGCUGUAAUCUGUCAUACACCCACCAGUGUUCCCAUAUCUUUACUCCCUCUUUAGCAAAGAGGAGAAAUAACUUCAUUAAUAUGACUACUGUAGGCUACACCUCAAAGGUGUAAAAUGCUGUCUGUGUAGUAGCUUAUUUUCUUUUAUAUGCAUGGACACUGACUUUAAGGGCCUCUUCGCUCACGGGCUCUGCCAAUCUAUUUAUCUACUGUAUUUAUUUACCAAUUCCUGCCUCAAGAUCUGAUUCCCAAGUGUGUUUUAUCAAAUUUGUUUGGCUUAACUGUAUGUCACUAACUAUUUUAUAUAUUAUUGUUAUAUCCAUAGCUACUUGAUGGCAUAGAACCAGCUGCUCAUUAAAGCAUAAACUCCACCUCCUGAAAGGGAAGCUUGGUCUCCCCUGUUGACCAUCGUUUACCUUUAUCACCAGUAGCAAAGGCCAUUUCUGAUAAAAUUAGUUUUGCUUCAUUGUUUUAAACAAAUAUUCCCCUGCACAGCACACAGAAAUUAAGAUACACACACAGAGAGAACGUCUUUUAAUUUCAGGACUUGUUCUGGGUCUCCAUAAGCUGAUUAAUGCAUUUAUUUGAAGUAUUUCUAUACAGAUUUUCAGACAGACCUGACAUAGCAAUUUACCAAAGAUCAAAAGUGUUGAUUUUUAAAAGUGCAUUAGAAUAAAAUGAAAAGACAACUGUUUAGAAGGAGCUGCAAUUGCUGCUUCUCUGCUACUUUCAGAAUACAGUACAUUGGUCCUUCAGAAGCAGCUGGGGGGGCAGUUGGGUGAGGGAGGGGCUACCACUAGGAGCUGGGGGGGUGGCAGCUCCUCAAGCUGCUUCUCUUUCUUUUUCCUGCGGCUUGAGAAAGGCUUGUGGCUGGGAGAAUCAUCUCAAUCUCUCCCACCAUAAACAUGGCUUCUUCCUUUUCCUGAGACUACCAUCCUGGCUUCAUUAUAAGGCAACCUUGGACAAACCACUUCUUAUGCCUAUCCAUGAACUCUCCCACGUACAGAUUGUGGAAACUAGUUCAAACGACAACUGGUCAGCAAAAUACAGAUGCUUGGCUGUCCACCAUCACUAUUUUCCCAGUUCCUAGCAGCCAAUCCUCCCCACCCCUCCUAUCUCACGGAGAAAAUCCUCAUCUGUACUAAUUCACUUCCUUCAACGUGGCAGCGACUUUAAGAGAUUUACGUUGUUAAGCCUGGGGCUCAUAUGGUUUAUCUCUUAACAAGGGACUGAGAUCCUAUAUCCUUCUUGAAGCUUUUAAGGAUUGCAUCUUACUUUAAUGUUGUCUUUGCAUGCUUCUGGCCAAAGGCUCAAGGCCCUUUCUCCUUUGGCCAUAACAAGCUCUCUCUCUCGCCCCCCUCCCUGAAGUCAACUUGCUGUUGUCAUCACCCAGAGCUCCCUGCAGAGCACACUUUACAGGAGAAAAGUGAGGGAAGAAGAUAGUUCGGUGAGAAAGUGGGAGCAUGAAGGAAAAAGAGAAGACUGGCUGUGAUGGUUUCCGAAAGGCUUUUUAAAGCUGUAAUUACAUGUGCAUCAGUGCAGAGACCUCAGCUGCACCAUGAAAAGUUAAGUCAGGCAAAUGACCUGUCCCUUACAAUACACACAUGAUAUCUCCUUUCCUCUACAUAUGAGAGCAGCUGGCUGAAGAUGAAUAUUAAACAAAGGCUGUGUCAAUUUAAUUCCCUUUUCAGGAGGCAACUGAAACUCACCUGUCCCUUAUUUUCAGGGGAGCUGAAGCUCCAGUGUUGCCAUGGGCAACAGUUGGGCCACUUGAAGCUAACUCAGUCAUUUUCCUUGGCAACCAUGACAACAAAGUUCUCUAAAACAGCCUUAAUUUAUGAAAGAUGCAGGUAGAUGGCAUCUAAUUGGAACAAAACCCAUUAAUGAACGGCAAGGUCAGGCAGCUUGGCUCAUGUUGGCUGACCCAUGAGGGCACAGCAGGUUGUGGGGUGGUGUUUUUUGGGGUUUUUUUUGGUCUCUGGGGUUUUGCUGUGCAGAUUCCACUUUUGCCGAUGUCUGCAGUGUUCACAGCUGUUGCCCUAGUUUCCUCUCUCCAGCUCCCACUCACUCUCCUGUGCAACGGCUGCCUACCACCUGCAAUGCAUAUGAAAUUUAUUCCUUCCAAAUCCAUGAGCUUCCCCUCUCCUUGAAAUAACAGUGCCAAUAAAUCACCAGUGAUCUUUUGGAAUAUCUACCCCUUCCCCACAAAAUCCAGCCAGCAGUAAGUUGCCACCCAAGCCAAUAAUUUAUUGCUAGCUGCAUCACCAUCACCAUUUAUUAAACUUAUUAGUUGCAUUUUUACUUGCCAUUGCAACUAAGAGCGACUUACCAACCCCCGCCAUACAUUAAAACUAAGGGGGGAUGCUUUUUAAACAUCCCACAUACCCUAACAGGCCAUAGAUAGUUAAAAGUAAAAGGCCUAGUUAGAAAGGAAUGCUUUUGCCUGACAUUUGAAGGUACAUAAUAAACUGCUGGCAUGAAUAGGGGCACAAGGGAGAUGGCUCAAUGGCAGAACAUGGGCUUUGCAUGCAGAAAGUCCCUGAUUCAAUCUCUGAUGUCUCCAGUAGUAGCAGACAGUACGGUGGUGCUCACCUGACUCCUGGUUGGUCAUGUUGCUGCUGCUUACAGGGGUAUAAAGGGUGAACGGUGGCAAGGUCAGUGCAGUGCGAAAGCACCAGCAGGAGUGCUGCUCUGGCAUUGUCAGCAUGUUUGUGCCCCCUUUCCCAGAAAUCAGUAGCAAUGGUCAGCUGAGUGCCACAGCUCCACCACACCAACUGCUACGUAUGCUCAGACAGGGCUGGGAGAAGACUUAUACCUGUCAGGAUGCUGUCAGCGGCUCCCGGCUAGUUGCCCAGGAAAGUAUAAAGGCAAGGAAAAGUUUCUGACAGUUCUUUUUUAUUUCAGUCUAUAUUUCAAGCUAUAGAACCCAGCCUCUUGGAUAAUGGUGUUGUCCACCCACCCUGCCUCUCCCACUUCCUCAUUUGUCAUUAUCAUCACCUCCUCUAAGUGCCCUCUGUCUUUGAGCUCUUUGCUCUCCUACUUUUAAGGCUCGCUGGGUUCUGGAAGAUGGAGGGCCUGGAAUGCUUUCUAAUGACGUGUCAGCUGGGUGUUGUUCUGGCUCUCCCACGAUUCCCCAGCUUUCCCCCUCAUCUGCCUCGGAGCUGCAACCUCCCUCAAACUCCUGUUGUAAAUCUAUACUGUGUUCCUCCUCCCCCUUCCUGGAAGGGUCAGGAUGGGGAGGCGGUCUCCACCAUUCCUCCUCUGCCCAGUCCCUGACAAUACUUGGCAUUUUGGAGAGCCACUGCCACAGUCGUCAUCAUCAACAACAACCAAGUUGGUAGCCAUUGUCUCAUCUUAUGGUAGUACAGUGGUACCACGGGUUAAGUACUUAAUUAGUUCCGGAGGUCCGUUCUUAACCUGAAACUGUUCUUAACCUGUUCUUUAGCUAAUGGGGCCUUCCACUGCCGCCGCGCCUCCGGAGCAUGAUUUCUGUUCUCAUCCUGAAGCAAAGUUCUUAACCCGAGGUACUAUUUCUCGGUUAGCGGAGUCUGUAACCUGAAGCAUCUGUAACCUGAAGUGUAUGUAACCUGAGGUACCACUGUAAGUUCCCUUGAUUAACUGUGAACAACAUGAGGAAGCCUUCCUUUUUGUCUGUCCUGAACCCUUCCAACUUCACUGGACCCCUUUUUGAGUCCAUGGCUCCCUUGACCAACUACAUUCUUUCUGUGGCACCCCUGUGGGGGCUCAGGAGCCCAGUCAUGUCACCUCUUGUCUGCAGAGCUGGCAGCCUCUCACCCUUUUUCAAACACCCUUCCUUGUGCAGUGUUCCCUCAGCCUCCUCUCCUCUCCCCGAGAGUCCUCUGGGCAGCUACUGAUGCAACAAACAGCUGUGCAAGCCUUUGGGAGGAAGAGACGCAAGAGGGCAUCAGAGGAGGGAGGGAAGGAAAGAGGAACAGAGGCCAGUAUUGCCUACGGCACCCCUGACCAUCAUUCAAGGCACCCAAGGGUGCCAUGGCACACUGGUUGAAAACCACUGGGUUCAGGUGUUAUGGAAGAAGGGUAACAAAAAGCUAUCUUUCUCCACUCCGUGAAUAAUUCAAUACAGCUUUGUAACAUCCCAACACGCUAAAAUGAGACUGCCAGAUGGGAGGAAGAAAAAUGGACAUAGCUGCGAUCCAGCAGUUAGGUUGGGAAAUAGGUCCAUGUUCCUGUACCAUUAAGUUUUAUAGAAGAGGGAAUAUUAGCAGGCGUUUGCUUCACCUACGCUCCUAUUUAAAAUACAUACACAAAUAAGAUGGGUUUAGCCUAAUCUCUGGGCAUGAGGAUGAAUUAGGCUGUUUAGUAAGCAGGCUACAAAGAUGAGCAAAAUGGCGUGGGGGUCUGAGGAUUUGCCUUAACAGGCUUUAAAAGGCUUGCUUUUGUUUGAAGACUGGUAUUUUUCAUGUAUUCCCUAGUUCUUGAGAAGACUGGAUGUAGCAGGACUGGGCUGGGUUCCUUUGGAUAUGAAAGGGAAAACUAGAGGCUUACAGUGGCUUAGCAACAUUUAUUUUACUUCAGUACAAACAUAUAAGCAAAGUACAGUGGAAACAAAUCAGCUUCUACAACAGGGAACAAAACUGCUAGUCUUGCAACAAAUUCAAAAGAGCUGCUUUUUCAACAAUACAGAGCUGUGCCCUAGACUUGGCUAAUAAGGGAGAAUGAGGAUAAGUAUUUUAUGUUUUCAUCUGAGGAAGGGGAGCCUCAUUAUUCCCCAUUGAGAGUUGCACGUCUCCCUGCAGUGCCCUCCUUUCAUUGUUUUUUUUUUUUGAGGGGUUGUGUGAAUUAUAAGAGUUCUGAUGUGACAUCACUUGUUUGUUUUGUCCUAGAAAAGAGGUAUUAUGCUGAUGUUGUUGUUUUGCAUUUUUAUUCUAGAGGAUAAAUGUCUGCAUUUCUUUUUGCCGGUGGAGCGAGACUAUUCAGACUUCUCAUCUUAAAAUGAUUGUGAGGCUGGAGACAAGGAGCCCGAGGAGUUAGCUUUGUGGGUCUUUGCAAAGGGUGUGUGACCCAGGCAGUUCUGCUGGCCUAGGCCCCUUCCUUGGUGCUGCUUAAACCUGUGAUAUUGCUUGACCCUACUAGGCUUUUUCUUCAUGAUGUGCUUCCUGCCACUGAGGAUUCCAAAGCCAAUGUUUCUCUUUAUGUAGAAUGUACUUAAAUGUAGUACUUUUGCUCAGUUGCAAAGUAUAUGCUGUAUAUAAGGGAAGGUUCCAGGUCUAAUCAGUAUUAUUCAGCGUUAAAAACAAAACAUCUGAGCAAUGAGGAAUGGAGAAUCUUGACAUCCUGAAAAUCUGCUGUCAGUUAAUAGUAGACAAUACAGGGCUGGAUGGAAAACUAGUCCAAAACAGCACCUCAUGUCCC